rnacentral:rRNA from 1 species
AUUGAACGCUGGCGGCAGGCUUAACACAUGCAAGUCGAGCGGAGAUGAGGUGCUUGCACCUUAUCUUAGCGGCGGACGGGUGAGUAAUGCUUAGGAAUCUGCCAUUUAGUGGGGGACAACAUUCCGAAAGGAAUGCUAAUACCGCAUACGUCCUACGGGAGAAAGCAGGGGAUCUUCGGACCUUGCGCUAAAUGAUGAGCCUAAGUCGGAUUAGCUAGUUGGUGGGGUAAAGGCCUACCAAGGCGACGAUCUGUAGCGGGUCUGAGAGAAUGAUCCGCCACACUGGGACUGAGACACGGCCCAGACUCCUACGGGAGGCAGCAGUGGGGAAUAUUGGACAAUGGGCGGAAGCCUGAUCCAGCCAUGCCGCGUGUGUGAAGAAGGCCUUUUGGUUGUAAAGCACUUUAAGCGAGGAGGAGGCUACUGAGACUAAUACUUUCAUGCAUUGACGUUACUGACAGAAGAAGCACCGGCUAACUCCGUGCCAGCCGCCGCGGUAAUAC